UGCUACUUCCGCGAUUUCUGCUACUUCUGCGAUUUCUGUGAUUCCUGCGAUUUCAGCGACUUACCACCGUAUGAAAAAGUUACAUCUGUCAACACAGAAAAUUGCAUCUCAACAAACCUGUCAUUGGCAAGUACCUAAACUACAUUUCAGUCACUCAGUAAAGUGAUAACUCAAAAUAUCAUUGUCAACAGAUCUGAAGAAAUUGCCACUGCGUCUUUAGACUGUUUUCGUCAGACGAGAGACACAGUUCUGACUCUGAUUACUGGUUGCUGUACGUAUCUAUCCACUUCAAGGCUGUUGAGAGAGACUCGUGAAGAUUCAAGACAGCUCUUAGAGGAUUUGCAGUUUAAAAGUGAAAUAAUUGUGAAAUAAGUG